GGUGAGAUGGCCGAGCGGUCCAAGGCGCCAGACUAAGGUACGAUGUAACAGUAGAUGUCAAAUCAUCUGGUCUCUUCGGGGGCGGGGGUUCGAAUCCCCCUCUCAUCA